UACGUAGGGGGCUAGCGUUGUCCGGAAUCAUUGGGCGUAAAGCGCGUGUAGGCGGUCCGGUAAGUCCGCUGUGAAAGUCGGGGGCUCAACCCUCGGAUGCCGGUGGAUACUGUCGGGCUUGAGUACGGAAGAGGCGAGUGGAAUUCCUGGUGUAGCGGUGAAAUGCGCAGAUAUCAGGAGGAACACCAGUGGCGAAGGCGGAUCUCUGGGCCAUUACUGACGCUGAGGAGCGAAAGCGUGGGGAGCGAACAGG
rnacentral:rRNA from 1 species